ensembl:lncRNA
CCAAAAUGCACCAAAAAUGUGGAGCCCACUGGGUUUUCCUAGAGCAGUGUUCCAGAGGGCAAAAGCCCAGAAGACAGAGGACCGGUACCUUUAUGCAACCUAGAUUCUGACAAUGCCCUCUGCAAAGCACCAAAAAGAGGAACAGAGAAUGCUGGGUACAUUUCAGGGGUAUCAGGCUGCUUAGCAAAUUAUUGUUUUAUAGAAAUGUUUGUCACCACCGUGUGUGCAAAGCACUUGCAAAGUCUAAAUGUCCUUGGAGAUUGUUUUAUUAUUUUCUGGAAACAAGCUGUUGAAUGUGGUCAUGAAAAUGCUGCUGUUACACUUACAUAAUAUUUCGUGACGCUUGAAAAGGCUGCAGCUGGCCUCUCUGCCAUUGUGUGGGGCCAGCAGUUCAGACACAGCAGACAUUGCCAGCAGCAAAGUCCAUGCAAUCCUGGGAAGGACGACAAGAAGAUGAUCUCAAGGAGCAGAACACCCAAGUAAACAGGGUCACCAUCACCAAUUAGAAACCGAAGCUCUGAGCUCCUGUUUCCCUGCAUCCCACACUUCCACAGUUGCUCUUAAGAAACCAUGUUUCAUCCUAAGAACUGCAUCAGAAUUAAGCUAAAUAUUUUGCCUGGGAAAUUUGGCUGGAUGUGAAUGGAGAAGAUAUUUAUAGUCUACAUUCUAGCACCUUCCAGAAGAUCAGAGUAGACACCCCAAUGUGCUGGCUUCAUCCAGAUGGGUCCCCUGCUGACAUCACUCUAAAAUCCACACAUGAUGAGAAAAAUUAAGUUUGUUUAGGGGUUGGGAGACAGGGAGGAUGAAUCUCAAACUUGUAGCAGUAUUUUUAGUUUCCUCCCACAGUCAUUGUUAUCUAAAUAUGCUUUGAGACUAGUGUAGAGUCUCUCACAGCUGUGUUCCUGGUUGAUCUACCCCCUCCCCCAUCCUUAAACUUUUUCAUUUGGGGGCAGUAAGUAGCCUCUUCAUCCUCCCAAGGCAACCAAGACAGUAUCCACAGGGAAAAACUGUAAGAGCCAUGACCUAGUCCAGACCUAGGCUUAUAGAGAUGCUUUACCCUCAGUUCUCAGAUAAUUGUGUGUUUAGGUGUUUGUUUUUGUUGAAAGGGACUGAUGAUCAGGUGGACUAGAUGAGCUCACAGUUAGAUUUCAGGGAAACAAUUUAACCUUAACCAAAUCUGAAGAACUGACCUAGAGAAACAUACUCGGUUUCUGCGACUUGACCCCAAGAGGUUGUCUCAGCCCUUGUCACUGUGGAAUUACGAAGAUAAAGAUUGCCACCCUCCUCGUUCUUGGCUGUCAUCCUAGAGAAGACCUAGUAAAGAUGGCAAAGCUCUGGUGACCUCAGCCUGGGGAAAUCAAACCUCCGGAGACUGAUACCAGCUAUGUCACUAUCUUGAUCACUCUUAUACCACUGGGGCAACCAAAGGAUUGUGCUAAGCCAUGUUUUGUAAAGUAUCUUAGUCAAUCAGCAAUAUGUUUUUCUGUAAAUUUGGAAUGUUUUUCAUUCUGACUUUAUUGUCGGGGACUCUACUGAAAAACAGUUUGAUCAAUAUAAAAGCAUUCAAGCUAUGCAACACUUACUGUCUGUCAACAUUUUUAUUUGUCUGUCUGAUUUCUGCCCCUGCCCCUAUCAACUCAAAUGCUGUCUCUCCAUCUCACCCUCCCUCUGGUUAUGAUUUCUCAUACAGUAUUUGGCCUUAGCAUUCAUGUUGGGUGGCCAAUUUUAGUCCAUAAUUGCAUUCUACUAUUGUGAAAGCAAUAGCUUGCAGAAAGCACUACCCUUCAUCCUGCAGGGUUGCUGAGUGGCUCUGUGAUCAACAGGGUCCCAGGUACCCCCAACUUGCUCUCCUAUCUGCUCUCCCAGCCUCAGAAUGCAGCUUCUACCUUGAUGUUCAGACACAUUCAGGUGCCAGACAGCAUAACAGGAAGGAGAAGAGAAAAGCAAGACCUAUGUCCUUAAUCCCAGGGCUAUAUAUCCUUCAAGGGGGUAGUUUUAAUGCCAAGAAACCAUAUGCUGGGGCUAGGGAUGUAGUUCAGUUGAUAGAGUAUUUGCAUAGCAUGCACAGCCCUGGGUUCAAUUCAGGAAAUAGAAGCAGGAGGAUUAGGAGUUCAAGGUCCCUUCGUUACAUAGCAAGUUCAAGGCUGCCUUGACAUGAGACUCCCUGUCAAGCCUGAUGACCUGAGUUCCAUCCCUAGAUCCUAUGUAUGUAGUGGAAGAAGAGAACCCUGCAUGUUUUCCUGACCCCCUCCCCACCACACAUACUCACCCACAUAGUACAUAAAUGUUAGAAAAAAAAGUUUUAAAGACUGGGCGGGUGUGGUGGCACAUGUCUUUAAUCCCAGCACUCAGGAGGCAGAGGUAAACAGAUCUCUAUGAAUCCAAUACCAACAUGGUCUACAUAAUGAGUUCCAGGCUAGCCAGAGAUGGUUGAGACCCUGUCAAAAAGAAAAGAAAACAGUAUUCCUAAGUAAAAUUCAGGUGGUCUAUUUCUGAGAAAGAAUUUGAGGGACAGUGAACUGCUUUGGCCCCAUGUAGUCACUCUUCUCCCCAUGAGAACAACACAAACCAAAUGUCAUCAUGUCAUAUGACUAAAAGAAAGUUACUUAGGAGUGGCUCUCCAUCUACUUGUGAUGUGUGUGGAUUUUUGUUUGGUUUUAUGUCCUGAUGACUUAAGUACUAAUGAUAAGUUCUUCUCACAUAGUUUUUACAGAGCUGUGAAGUAGACACAGAAGCAGCCAAUGAAAACAUGGAUGAGCAAACAGCCUGGAAAUACUAUCCCACAUUGUCAGGUCCCGUCACCACACAAAAAGAGCGGAGCUCUCUAUCUGGCAGUGGCCAGUCCCUUGAAUAGCACCUGAUAGUCCAGUCCUGCCCUUGGGAAAGAUUCCUCUCCUUCCAUAGUCACAUUCAGAAUGAGACUCCCAAAUGGUGGCCUUGGUUCCAGCACAGAUUUUCUGGCUUCCUCACUUUUGAGGAAGACUUGGAGGUCUUGUGCCAUUCUCAUUUACAUGUAAAUCUAUUCAUGUAAAAAUGGUGUUGGUAGCCAAAUCUCGUUAUCAAAAUGCCCCCUUGUAGGGGUGGAGAGAUGGCUCAGUGGUUAAGACCUCUUUCUGCCCUUCCAAAGGACUCAGUUCAGUUCACACCAUGAAUACCACCCCACCCCUGCCUGGUCCAAGUUAAAGACUCCAUCCCAGACAAGUGGUCCCAUGGUCAGCCUCAGCCUUGCCAUCUCUGUUUGUCAUAGACAACAUUGUGAAUGCUGUCCCAGAGCACAGAGCUAUGCAAGGUGAUAGCUUCCCAUAGAUGUAAGAGGUACUGUGUCAUAAUCCAAGCUGUCCUGGAACCCACAGAUGACUCAUCAGUGCUGGAGGGCUUUCUGGCCUAGAGAAUUUAGACCUUUUGCCCCAGCUGGAAAUACCAUCCAUUUUGCUAAUGAAAAGCUACUCCCCCACCCCCUGCACACAUGAAGUUUGUUUUGUUUGUUUGCUAUAUGUAUUUGUGUGAUAUGCAUGAAUAUAUACAUGUUCACUCGUAUGUGGGCACACCCAUGUGAGUAGAUGCCUAUGUGCAUGUGUACAUGUUUGCAUACUUGUACAUGUGGAGGUCUGAGCUUGAAAUUGUCUGCAGGAGUCUUUCUCAAUCAUUCUCCACCUUCUUCACUGAGACGGAGUCUCUCAGUUGAACCCAGAGAUCACGAGACAGAUAGUCUGGCAAUCCAGCUUGCUCUGGGGAUCCCCUGUCUCUUGUCUUCUCAGCACUGGAAUUAUAGACAGGCCACCAUGUCAACCUGGCAUUGAGUAGCUUCUGAAGAGCCAAACUCCAAUCAUUUGCAUGGCUGAUGCUUUUUCCACUGAGUAGUUUCCCCAGCCCCUCAAUUGCUUGCUUGCUUGUUUGUUUCAAAGAUUUAUUUUUUUAAGACGUGUGAAUGUUUGCCUGUAUGUUUGUUUGUGUACCACAUAAAUGCCUGGUGCCCAAGGAGGCUAGAAGAGGGCAUUAGAUCUUGAAUCUGGAGUAAUAGAUGGUUGUGAGUAGCCAUAUAGGUGCUAGGAAUCAAACCCAGGUCCUCUGCAAGAGUAGCCUGUGAUCUUAACAGCUGAGCCAUCUCUCCAGCCCUGUCUUCAUUGUUUUUUCAUGUAGUUUGAAUGAGUUGCAAUUCUCCUGCUUCAACUUCCCAAGUGCCAUUGUGCCACCAUGCCCAGCCUUGAUAGAAGGAGUUUUGGAGGACUUGCUUGAUUGGCACUUGCCAAUCUUUCAGAACUGCUAGUUGACCACAGCAUGUCCACAGUCCCAGCAGUGUCUGCCGGUUUUUAGAUCAUUCCUGGCAACUUUAGAGUGCAUCCCGUCAUUCCAUGCCAGUCAGACAAUUGCCAAUAACAUGAGGAACUUGUCUCCCCUCCACCUCGACUAACUAAAUGGUGUGUCCCUGAAGGAACUUCUAGAGUGGUGUAUCCAGGAACAAUACCAGACCUGUUCCUGAGCCAGAAACCCAUGUCACUGCCCCUAAACAAAGUAUUUAGUGUGGACCACAGAUACCUCCAGGCUGACCCUAUUGUAGACAUGGCUAAAUGUCCCAAAUCUGCCCUCUUACUGUAAACAGCUGCCACAGCUCCUGCUUCUUGUCACCUCUGAGUUCUGGUCAGAAUUUGGGGACAGGCAUUUGUCAUCAGCACUCGAGUAUCUGUAAUGGAUGCUGAAAAUACAGUCACUGACAUUUCAGCAUCUGUAAGGUGAGAUAUGGGAGGUGAUCUCCAUCGUAGAGUUGGAAGUGUCUCCAGAUGCAGAAGCUAGGUCACCAAAACCCAAUGUCCUGAGAAUCGCCCCUUUUGCUUUAUCCAAUAGGCUAUUGGUUCUGAAGUGUACAAAUGAUUCUGACAUAGAACCUUGUAUGGCUGGAAAUCCAUUUCCCCCAAAGACCAAAUGAAACCUAAUCAAUUAUACUGUCUGUCAACCCCAGAUCUCUAUUCUCCUAUUUGUCCAUAAUACUAUCUCAUUUCCUUGUACUUCUUUAACCAAAUUGGACAGCUGAUAAAACAGUGAAAAGGAGAGGAAACAUGAGAUAAAAUACACAGGACAUUCCCAGGAGAAAACAAAAUGAGACGAGCCUAGUGGGAAGGGUACUGCCUGGAGCAGAGCAGCUGCUGGGCUGUGUCCCCAGUAUGACAUCACUCUGGCCUAGGACCCUGGCACUGUGGGAAGGAACUCUGGUCUUAGAUUUCACGGAGAGUGUAGAGAGAGGCUGGCCUGGCAGGCUGUGGAGGUGUGGAAAUGCUAGAGAUCAAGGCCAGAAGUCAGGUUUCUAAACAAAACACACGCUGCUUACGAGCCACCAUAAAACCCUCCGGAACAUGAACAGGAAAGUCUGGAGAAACACAUUCUAAAUCCCUAGGCCUUCCACAGUUUGUUGCUUGCACCCAGUCUAUGUUGUGUUUUAUUACAACUAGCUUGUAGGAAUUCUGCUUUUGACUUGGCUCAGCAUCAUCCGGAAGCAUAGGAGCUCACAGGUCUGAGAGCUGUCCUUUCCUUUCUGAGCAUCACUCCCUACUUCUCAUCCAGGAGAAAGUUCUCCCCUCUGCGUUCCUUACACUAUCACACACACACACACACACACACACACACACACACACACACACACACACACACACACAAGAUGUUCAUAGCAAGAUGCUUUGUAAUAGCCCCCCCCCAAAUGAAAACAGCCUACCCAUCCUCCAGUUGGUGAAUUAGUAAAUAAGAUGCAGGGUGUCUACUCAGCCGAGGGUCAUUACCUGGUUGUUAAGAGCAAUAGAAUGCUGACACAUAUUAUAUGGACUGACCUUAAAAUUGUUAUCAAUGGAAGAUGGCCUAGUGGGUAAGAGUGCUUGCUACCCAAACAUGUAGACCUGAGUUCUAGUCCCCAACACCAAUGUAAAAAGCUAGGGUUAUGUACCUAUAUCCCCAGCUCUGUGUGGGUGCAGAGACAGGAGGAUUACUGGACUUAAUGGUUGCCAGCCUAGCUCCAGGUUCAGUAAAAGACCUUGUCAAAAGGGACUAUGGCAGAGACUAUACACUUGACAUCCUCCUCCUGGCCUCCAUUCUUGCACACACAUGCAUGUACACCACACACACAACUCAAAAUUAAUUAAUUAAUUUAAAAAACAUUAAGUGAAAGAAUCCAGUUACAAAAGGUCACAUGGUUUCAUUUAUAUAAAUUGUCCAGAAUAAACAAAUUCAAGGGUUGAAGAGAUAGCUCAGUGGUUAAGAACAUUUGCUGUUCUUCCAGAAGACCUGAGUUUCGGUUCCAACAUCCAUGACGGGUGGUUCAUAUCACCUAUAAAUCUCUAGGGAUCUAAUGCCCUCUUCUGGACUCAGAGAGCAUACACACACAUGCACACACACACACACACACACACACACACACACACACACACACAGAGAGAGAGAGAGAGAGAGAGAGAGAGAGAGAGAGAGAGAGAGAGAGAGAGAGGAUAUACACAUACACGUAACUAAAAUUUUGUAAUAUUAAAAAUAUAAAAUCAUUUUUAAAAUAAUAUGAAAAAUCAAAUCCAUAGGGACAGAGAGUGGCACAGUGGUUGUAAAGAGGACCAAAGUGCAAACCCAUAACCAAUAAUCCCUCAUUUGAGGAUCUGACCCAAGAGAACAAUUAUAAAGCUUGACUUAUGAUGCCAGGAGAGUUUUUGUUUAUUUUUUAACUGUGUGUUGUGUGUAUACAUGUGUAUGUGGGUUCCACAGGGGCCAGAAGGGAGCAUUAGCUCCCUGGCAGUUGUGAGCUGCUGGAUUCUAGAACCAGCUCCACAGAACAUGGACUCAGAGAAUCCAAUGCUCAGAAGGUGGGAGGAUUCUUCUAGAUGGACUGUUCUGAGGGCCCUGACAUUUUGCUCUGCCCUCCUGUGAGCCCAGCACUGGCCAAAAUACCCUGGCAUCCCGUCCUCAUUGCAUAAGACCCUGGAGAGUGCCCAGAAGUCUGUCCUCCAGCUGCAAGAGCUACCCUGGUCCUGGCCUGUACUAUUGGAAUAUAAAUUCUAUUACCCCAAGGACAAAUCUUCAAAAGGGACAGAUUUCUUCAUUCUGUGUCCCCCUUUGAUUUAUAUUCCUAUCCCAAAUGUGAUUAUGAAUUAAAUGAAACCUCCAAACCUUCAGUUUGGAGACUGAAGGUCAGACCUUCAAAUGGCCUCUUUUAACCCAGCUCUCUUUGCAAAGCGGAGAAAGCUUAUAUUUACCAGUAUUUUAAGGAUAAGUGUUCUGGCCGAAGCCCCACAGUGUCUCCUUGCCCCUGUCCUGCAAAGAAUGUGACAUCCUCAGGAUGGCCUCUGCUGUAUCUUCUUUCCUCAUGUUCACAUGGUCCAUGCCAGCCUGGCCACCCAGGUCCAGCUCAGAUGCCUCCUCUUCUGGGAAGGCUUCCCUGCCUACACUUUCUUCAUUUGAAGAUCUCUGGGCAUCUACACCAGCUCAUGUUUAACUUCUCUCCUUCCUAGUCAGAGAAUCAUCUGUGCUCCCUGCCACAUACACACAAUAAUGUCUACCAGAUGCGUGUAGGUUGCUAUGUAGCAGAGGAUGACUUUGAACUUCCGACACUGCUGCCCCAUGUCUGGUUUGUGCAGUACUGGGGCUUGAAGCCAAGGUUUUCAAGCAUCAACUCUGUCAGCUGAGGUCAGCUCCAGCUCCAAGGUCUUCAUUUUUCGAUGUUAUUUAACACUCCUGUCCCCACUGGAAGACAUUUUUAAGAGCCACGAUAAGGUGCAAGAACAUCGAUUCUAAAUCUGACCUCAUCAGCAUUCAGAACACCACAAAUACACGAAAAAGUCAUCAAGAGAUUGAGAAAAAUAUUUGCAGCCAAUAUGACAAAUUAAAAUGAGAUUUCAUUUUUUUUUUAGCUUAGACUUGGCAAAACCUGAAACUCCUGUUUUUGAAGCAUAGUCAGUGACAAUUUCAUGGAAAAUAUUUGGAUUUUUAAAAGCUGCAAAGCAGUGAUAUUAAACCAAAACUGUGUAAUGAUGGGAGUUUACUUUCUGUUUUGUUUUGCUAGUGAGAUUGUGUCUAUCCACAUGGCCCAGGCUAGCCUCAUACUCAUGAUCCCUUUGCUUCAUCCCCCAAAGUGCUAGGAUUUGGGUCAUGCCCUACCUGAGGAUUUGCAUUUUUGUUUUGAAUGUUUGCUAAUUUUCAGUUGACUUUCAGAACAAGCAAGCAUUAUGGGUAUAACCAGAAACAGAACUUGGUAGAGCCAGGCUUGUCAGUGUUUGCCUGUAGUUCCAGCUACUUGGUAAGCUGAGGCGAGAGGAUCUCUUGAGCUUGGAGUUCGAGCCCACCUGGGACAACAUAGACUCCAUCUAAAAAUCAAACAAAUCACCUUUGCUGGUAAAACUCAGUAUUGGUAAAGAAGUGAGAGGGUGAUUGGAACAUAAAUUGGCACAAUCUUCUGGGAGAACAAUCUGUAUUUUAUUUUAACUUUAUUUAUUUUGGGUUUUUUUUAUACAGAGUUUCUCUGUGUAGACCAGGCUGGCCUUGAAUUCACAGAUAUCCAGCUGCCUCUGCCUCCUGCGUACUGGGAUUAAAGGCAAGUGCCACCACCCAAUCUUCCUGCCUCUGCCUCAAUGGUGCUGAAAUUACAAGCAUGUACAACUUUAUGAGGGCAAAUUAAUAGUGAUUAUUAAACACUUUUAAGGUUGCCUAUUCCAACCUGAAGUCAUUGAUCCCAAUAGCCCAUAGAAUAUGGGUAAGAACAUUUUCUCUUGACUUAUUCUAAUUAUUAGGGCAAAAAUGACUAAGAAAUAAAGCAAAUUUGAACAGUGAUGUGUACAUGGAUACUCAAAGCAGAAUUGAAAAACAACGUAAAUGAUUAAUUAACGGAGGAUUAUUAUUUUUUUGAUGUGAUCAAGUAGUAGAAGAUUAUUAAAAUUCUGAAAAUUCUGUAUAGGAAGAAUGUUUUAAAAUUCUGAAAAUACUGUAUAGGAAGAAUGUUUUAAGUAAAAAAGUGGCAAGAAUGUGAAACUUUAGAGCAACAGUCUAGAUUUCUAAAGCAGGAAACUAGUGGGAGGCUCUAGGAACAUGGACUCAGAGGAUCACAGCAAUGUGUAAUAGUGAAUACAUCUACAUUUAUUCAUAACUCUAGAGGAAAUGCAGGUCUUUGGACACAAUUUCCAGGUGUUUGUGAGUGUGUGUGUGUUCAUGUAGGGGGAUAUACACAUGCGUGUGUACAGAAAAAGACAAUCUUGGGUGUUAUUCCUCAGUCAUCACCUUUUUAUUUUAUUUUUAAUCUUGUUUUUUUUUUUUUUUGAGACAGGAUCUAUGAUGGUUUGACUAAAAAUGGCCUCCAUAGGCUCAUAGGGAGUGGCACUAUUUAUUAGGAGGCGUGGCUUUGUUGAAGUAGGCGUGGUCUUGUUGGAGGAAAUGUGUUACUGGGGUGGGCUUUGAGGUUUCAGAAGCUCAAGUCAGGCCCUGUGGCUCACUCAGUCUUUCCUGAUGUCUGCUGAUGUAGAUGUAGAGCUCUCAGCUACUUCUUCAGCACCCUGUCUGCCUGCAUGCUCCCUGCCAUGAUGAUAAUGGACUAAACCUCUGAGCUAUAAGCCAGCCUCAGUUAAAUGUUUUCCUUAUAAGAGUUGCUGUGGUCAUGAUGUGUCUUCUCACUAACAAAAACCCUAAGGCAGGGUAUCUCAUUGGCCUAUAACUCAUCAAGUAGGCUAGGCUGGCUGGCCAGGGAUCUGCCUGUCUCCAUUUCUGCAACUUGGGGAUACUGGGUACCACUACACUUUGGGUUCUGGAAAUCUAACUCAGGUCUUUAAACUUUCAUGGCAAAUGCUUUACCAACUGAGCCAUCUUCAGAGUUCCUUGACAAGUCUGUUGUUCUUGCUUUAUCACCAAGAGCAAUAUCCCUUUUUAAAAGGUCUCAGUGCCUUUUUUAAAUAAUGACAGAUUCAGCUGACAACACUAACACAUUUGACUUUGACCCAGCAACUCAACCACCAGGAAUGGAUGUACCACCUUACGAGGUGAACCCAGCUGUUCGCAGCAGCCCUGAGCUGGCAGAAGAUUGGAGACAACCUGAUGCUCAUCACCCAGUUCUAAAAAUCACUGAUGGUUGUGUUGUGAGAGUUUGAGUCCAGUACCUUGGCUAUGCUGAGGACUCACCCUACCACUGAGUCAAAUCCGUAGGGACUCAGACCUACACUAGAACACUCUGUAAUCACAAACAAGCCAGAGGAAACCUUUUCAGAUUUCAUCAUUGUUAUUCUAAACUAAUUAUUGAUUAAUAAUCAUAAAUACCCUGUGAGGGUUAGUCACAGCUAUCAAAUAAUCUCCAAGAGGGUAAUAAAUGAAACACCAAAACAAGCCCAAAGGAUAGAGGAAGUUUAUUAGUGUGCUAAGAAGAUAUUUGCAUAGGCAAGUGUCUGUAGCUACGGCUGUGGACACUUGCUUCUGUAGGCAUAAUUAACUGGAAGGUCACGUGAGACGGAAUAGGAGAGGGGCUGUUUUGAAACAGUCAGUGGCUAUAUUCAGUGAUCCAUAAUGCUAGACAUUAAAGUCACAAUGGGCAACUACAGGCUCUUCAGCAUCGUUCUGAAAAGUUUGGACAGUGUAUCCAACCUGCCUUGAUUUAAACCCUAACUUCUUGACAACUUUCUAGACAUUAGAGAAAUAAAUGAUGGCUGGAAGCUCAAUACCCUCAUCUAUAAAAUGGUGGUGAUACCACCAUAGAGUGGCUGUGAGAUGGGCCACAUAAAAUACUGUAGUUUCUAUGUAACAAUGCUAACAAUAUUAUUAGUCCAUGACUGUCCUGAAGAUGGCCAUUCCUCCGGUCCAUCAGAAAUACCCUGCCUGUGCAUACCAGGCUAGCCUGAGCUACACAGGAAGAAACCCUGUCUCAAAAAAAAGUAAAUAAAUAUGUAAGUUUAAAAGAACACAGGACUUCAAAGAGCCACUGUUGCAGAUCUAGUGCUUGUAGAUUUGCAAAGCAUGCCUGAAAGGUUCAGGCAUUAUGCUGGCCUGCCCCUGUUACCUGGUGGAAUCCACUCAGGCAAUACCCUGGUCAGCCCAAGGUUCCAUGGGAAAGAAGUCUGUACGCAGGCGCAGAGGACCCCUUUAAAAGAUAGGCCCCUGCUCUCUCUCUCUCUCUCUCUCCCCCUGUUCCUGCUCUCUGUCCCCUCUCUCUGUUUUCCCGCUCUGUCUCUCUAUGGCGACCGGCCAUGGCGGUCAGCCAUUACCCUGUUCCUCCUCUUAGUCUCCCCAUUCUGCCGGUCCUUAUAAUAAACUUAUAGUCAAUAUGUCUGUCUCAAUAUUUCUCUUUUCUUCUUUUUAAACAAAAGAAUAACAUUUUGGCGCCCAACGUGGAAAGGCUCUGCCCUUAUACCUUCUGCGACCUGCUGGCGGGCGCAUGUUAGGCUAAGGGUAACCUUACAAUCCACUUCCAUCUCCGCUUUUCCUGGCACUCCCUCCUGCCUGCAACAGCCUGAGAUGCCGGAACUCAACUUGCGGCUUUUCCAACUAAGUAUUUCUGGAACUCACUGAUCUGCCUAUUCGCUACAAUCCGGUAAGAAACCCAAACCGUUCCUAUGGGGCAGACCCAGCGCUGUUCAAUCUGGGUCCAUUUUUCGGUUUCGGGCCGGGUGCUCUCAGACAGGGCAAUCUGUACAUUUUUCGGCCUUGCCCACGGGAAGUACAUUUUUACGGGAUCUUUCGGUUAUUGGCAGCGAGUAGGUAAAUGAGCGGAGUUCUGCCUCCCAGUGGGAACUUUCUUUCACCUGGGAAUGUCCCUCAUUGUUCUGUUUGUUCUUUCUCUGACUGGUUCUUCUUGGUUGGCAAUGUCUACUUGAGAAAACUUUUCUGGCAAUUGAAAAUGUGCUUACAGGGGUCGCCAUCGGCCACGUGUGCUAACCUGGGGGCCGCCAUCUUGGUCAUAAUCAGGUGACCUGGCUUAGGCCUACCCACUCAGUUCAAUGACUUCCACCGGCAAGCACUGCCACCUGACAUCUUGCUUUUUAUUUCUUUCACUUGUUGGGUGCAUUUCCAGGUCAGGCAUGGGAUCCCGCUCCAGGAGCGGUGCUUUUUUGCUUUUUUCACUUCGGACCACUGGGUCCUUUUUCGGUUUCGGGACAGCUGUGUCCCCUUCAGGGCCAGGCCCCUGGCAACUCCCACGGGCAGACAUGCAUCCGUAGAGGAGCUUUUUGCCGAUUUUCCACUUGCCUCACCCAUGGGAAAUGCAUAGAGGAACCUUUCUGGUUUCAUCCAACAAGCAGGUAAACAGACAAAAGCGGCUUACAGUCCCUGCCGUUUUGGUCAUGUGACCUCCCUGUAGGCACGCCCAGCUCCAGCGGCCUAUCCACCAAACCUGUCUGCCGGAUUUUUGAUUUCUGCCAGAUCUUUUUGCUUUUUAUUUUAUUUUUGUCUUUUUCUUCUUAUUUUAUUUUUUGUCUAUGAUUUCUUCUUUCACUGGCUCUGUUGUUCAUGGCUUGUUUACUAAAUACUGUGCCUUUCCAGGGCCCUCUGUUUAAGUCUACCCUGUCUCUUUAAAUCUCCUGUCUGUUUGCUACAAUGUACGGAUCAGAGAUUACAAUCUGACUCCCCCUUUACUGUUAUCCAGUCCUGCUUAUCUCUGUACCUGUAAUUUAACUUUAUACUUAUCUAGCUCUAUAUGCAACUUAAAUUAAACUAUACUAAGUCUUAUAUUUCUAAAUUGCUAUAUAUCUUUAAAUCAUGGUAAACAUUUAAGGUCAUAAAGGUAUAAUUUAACUAUACUUAAAAUAUAAGCUAAGUCUAUACAACUUAAAUUUAACUCUUGUAUCUUUAAAUGAUGAUGAAAAUUUAAAAUUAUAAAGAUCUAUUUCAAAUUAACAAAAUAUUUAUACCACUCAGUUUAUCCUGUAAGCCGUUUACAAAGGUACAGCUUUUAUUACAAAAAGGUAUUUUUUCUCUAACUAAAGGCAAACUUAACUGCUAAGAUACUAAACAGACAGCCCUCAAAUGCUCAGAGAUCUAGAGAAUAUGGCAUUUAAAAUGUUUUGUUAAAAAGCUUUUUAUAACAGAGAGAUAGGCCAGCUGCUGGCCCCACCCCAUUUCCUCCGAGAAGACUGGGCACUGAAGAAACUUCGUCUCAAGUCAGUGACAAUGCUGGUCACUGAGCAACCCUGCCCUUCGCCUCAACUACUACAAAGUAUUCCAGACCUUGGACAAGAGGACAACGGAAUCGACUUUCCCAGCGUUGCUUGGGCCAACGGUAGGCGAGUCUUCCCAAAGUCUGUAAUCCACAGGUCACAAGUUAUCAGCAAGAAGGCAGGUGUCCUGCAGCCCGCUACUAUGGAUGGAGGACCUUGGGGAUGGCUGUCCAUGCAGCCUGCUGGCAAGUCUCUGUUAUUCUUUAAUGAUUGAUUCAGGUAAAAUCUUAUCCUUCUCAAGAACUCUGAUGCUUUUGACGACUGAUAGUCUUGCCAGCUUAAAGCAAAACAGAUUCCAGUAACAGGUAUUUUAGGGUUUAUCUAUGUAAAGAUAGGAAAGUCUAAGAUGUAUGAAGGUCUGAAAAUGUAGUUACGAAGGCCUGAGGAUAUAAAGGCUUAAAUGGUGAUAAAAUGAGUUGAGACAUUAAAAAGAAUAAAAUAUGUUCCUGAUUUCUCUAUUUCUCAUGCUACUGUUCAUAGUAAAGUUCAACAAUACCACUAUAUGAUCAUAACUACAAGGUCAAGAUUAAGAUGCUUUUCAUUGUCCUAAAAAAAUCUGUCUAUUUUUAAAUGGUAAUACUUUCAGCCAAGUUGCUUCUAACAUGAAUGUGCUACUAAUGUGUCUAAUACUUAUGUUUCCACAAACUCUAAGGAUUCUUGUAAGUGCCAGGGAGCCGAAUCAGAUCCAAACAGGUCAGGUUCACUCCAGGUAAUAUUCAAUCUUUCCCCAAUCCCAAAUUCCCUUCACUCAUCUUGGGACUCCUUGGGAACCCCUUCCUCAUCUUACAAUCUUCCCCUCAAGUGACAGGACCUAAGAAAAAUUUUUUUUUCUAAUCUCAACCUUGUCUUCUGCUCUGUCAACAUCUUGCCAGGUCUAAGAGGCACCAGGGAGUUCCAUACAGCCUGGACUACAAUGAAACAACCAGCUUCCCCAGGACGUGGCAGCACCCCAACCUUCUCGGGUCCCCCAAAGAUGGUCAACGCCCCCACGUCAGCAGGAAGCAGUCUUAAGAAUUCGACGCCCUUAUUCCUUAACCUGCCAUGUCUAAACACCCCACCUUUUUUAAUAAUAAGUAGAGGUGGGAAUGAAAGGUUCAGGCAUUAUGCUGGCCUGCCCCUGUUACCUGGUGGAAUCCACUCAGGCAAUACCCUGGUCAGCCCAAGGUUCCAUGGGAAAGAAGUCUGUACGCAGGUGCAGAGGACCCCUUUAAAAGAUAGGCCCCUGCUCUCUCUCUCUCUCUCUCUCCCCCUGUUCCUGCUCUCUGUCCCCUCUCUCUGUUUUCCCGCUCUGUCUCUCUAUGGCGACCGGCCAUGGCGGUCAGCCAUUACCCUGUUCCUCUUCUUAGUCUCCCCAUUCUACCGGGCCUUAUAAUAAACUUAUAAUCUUAUGUCCGUCUCAAUAUUUCUCUUUUCUUCUUUUUAAACAAAAGAAUAACAAUGCCUAGCUCCUGGCUUGCAGAAGACUAAUGAAUGUCGUGAGCAGAAACCACUUGAAAAAGGCCAGGUUCAUUUUUUUCUCCCAUUUCUGAUUUAUGGGCUCCUUUUAUUUCAAUGAUUAUUUAUAUCUCUCCUAGAAUUUCUGUGUAAAAGGGUUUAUUUUGUAGAUGCUUUCAAGCCUGUCUGGUUUCAUACUGUUCAGCUCUUGCCUAAAGGCUGGAGGGAGUGUUUAUCUCUUCAAAGAUUUCAAACAUGCUAGUUUCUAGUUCUCAAGAUACAAAAUCUAAUUGUUGCAACUGCCAACUAUGUGUGCUUUAUUUCUUCACACAGUGUGCAAAUGUAUUGCAAACUCAUCUUUGCAGGCUUUCUUCAUCCUCCCUUCCUUCCUCCCUCCCUUCCUCUUUCCCUCCUUCCUUCCUUCUUCUUUCAAUUAUUUAUUUGGGAAGGAAGAAUGUGUGCUGUAACAAGCUUGUGGAGGUCAGAGGACAACUUUCAGGUGUCAGUUUUCUUCCACUGUGUGGGUUCUGGGGUUCAAACUCGGGUUGUCAGGUUUAGUGGCAAGCACCCUUACUGCUUGAGUCAUCUUCAUGGCCUUUUUUUGGGUCAGAUUUCUGAAAGUAUCUAAACCCUGACUGUGGCAGUAUCCUGUUGUGAAUGACUAUCUCUGAGCCAAGCAAACGCCAUGGGUGGGAGGGGGGGUUCAACUGCAAAAGGAUCAUCCCAGGUGGGCUUGUUGACUGUUUACAACCACCUUACUGAGAGUUGGGGAGGGUCACAAGCUCUCCCCUAAGGAGCCAGUCACUCCCUACCUUUAACCUGUUCUAUGAAGCUCUUCCUUAAUUGUACAAGACCUCAGGGAGGGGCUCAAGUACAUAGGCCAAGGGCAGAGGUGGACCUCUAUCCACGUGGCUAUGGGGAAGCCCUCACCCCUGCUGGGAAAGGCUUUCCAGGUUUGGACUAUUGUUGAGAUAGCACCCACACCCCUUAAGUGACCCCUCACCUAUGCUCUGAAGGAAGUCCAAUAAAGCCAUUGCUUUUCCAAAAUGAACUUUGGUCCCAGAACCGUGUCUCUCUUGUUGUUGUUGGGACCUAAGGAUCUAGGAUAGAUGUUGCUUCCAUCUCCCCCUGGGAAAGAAUUUUAAUGACCUUAAUGACCGCCCUUAUCUAGUGACUUCAUAGACUCUCAGGUUUAUCUGCUCUGAUCAUGUUUUUGCAUUAAUUUUUUUUCACUUAAAAUUUCUAUGCCACACAACAAGUAUGACUUCAGACCCAACAUCUGUACAUGGUCUGGAAUAAAUAUAUGGAUUUUUUUUCUUGUCCCUUCCCUUUUUUCCCCCCUAGAAAACUCCCGACUCCUAUCUUCUUAGGCAAACAUAGAGCCCAUGGCUGGACUUCUCUAACACAGAGAUAAAGAAUUUCUAGUUGCAAGCACUCAGCUUUCAAAGCCUUUGCCUCCCUGGUUUAUCAAUGCCUUAAAAAACAACAACAACAACAAAAACGUUUUAUUGAUUCUUUGUGGAUUUCACAUCUUGCAUCCUGAGCCUUUUUUUUUUUUUUUUCCACUGUCUUUACCUAGUAGAAAGGAGGAAUUCCAGUCUCCUCAGUGCUAAUCCUGUUGAUGUUGGCCCCACCCUCUUGACCAAACCACCUCCCCCAAUCCCCCAAUCCUAACAUUGUGAUGGUGUCAGGUGAGGCAUCUACACAGGGAUGUGUGGAGAAUACAACCUUCAGACACUUCAUCCCCACAUCUGAUGAGUGAGGAGAGUGUCCCUGAGCACAAGACUGCCCUGAUCUUUGUAGAGAGAAAUGGACCUAAGGCUUUCAGAUAAGACUAGGGCAAGAAAACAGAAAGCUUCGGACCUAAGUUGCUUUCUGGAAAAUCGGUUUUCAAAAGUAAAUUUCACAAUCCUUCAGAAAAAGAAGAACACUGUAUUGAAAGACAUGGAAGGAAAAAGCCAAGAGUAGAACUGUGCUGGCUUCUAUGUAGAGGAAUACCAGUUUUCUUUUCACCCUUUGUUAUUUUCAACACUUUCUAUUCCUUUUAUCUUGAGGGGAAAAUUAAUAAGCCAUUUUAAUGUGGUUUUCCAAUCAGCUGGAAGAUGACAAAUAAGAACUCUUUCUGUCAGAGGUUGGUGGCAAAUAAUGACAGUUAUGGGAAGUGCCUGGGUAUGGUCUGUGUUUGGAAUCCCUGGAAUUUGUUGGCAUACCCAGGAAGUAAGUACUCUCAGAGCUUCCUUCUUUUCUCAUGUUUAUUGGUCACGUGGUUGUGUCCUGCACUACCAUAGCUCCUGUGGCUAAACAAACCUUUAUCACAAUGGAUGGACCUGUCCAAUAUCUGUUCUUUCUGUAGCUUCUAGCUGCCCCUGCUCACUGAGCACUUGAAAUAUAGCAUGAUUGGCAGAUAGAUUUUUUUUUUAAUUUAAAUGUUAUUAAAUUUCAACAGCCACAUGAGACCAGUGGCUUCCAUGUUGUCACAAACAACAGAUAGUGCCCCUCCCCCAUCUCAUAGAGUGAGAUGAUUCUUGUGAGAAACAUUAAAGCAGUACAGAAACAGGACUGUGGGGUAUGUGGUUGUUUCAUACCUUUUGGGGAAAACCAGGCAUAGGACAAUACUCAGCCAGAAGGAUUUGGAAAAACUGUGGCUGUAGUGAGUGGGCAUGGAGAAGUGAUGGAAACACUCAGUGGCUGGGCAUAGAAGCUACGACGACUAAGUCCUGGCCCAUGAUCUGAAGUGCCUGCUUUAGGAGAAACCUGAGGGCUCCCAGUGAAGAACACUUCACACUGGAGGGAACAACAGGUUUGGUCCAGUGACACCUGCCUGAGGACAGGCUCCUUUCUCUCCUGAAGUCUUCACUGAGUCCCUCUGUUGCUUCCCUUACAUGGUCCUCAGAUACCUGGAGUUCAAGUUCCCUUGAAACUGGGCAGGGAUACCACAGAGCUUCAUUUUGCACAUAUUUCAUUCUACUUCUGCAGCUGUGAAACCUACAUUCUGAAUCAGACUGGAUUUUUCCUCAACUGAGAACAGAGGGGCAGAGCCCUGACUCCUCACUAGGUCUGAUGCAGCAUUCUGAUUCUUUCUCUUUCCUUUCACAUGGCUUUUUAGUGACUUCACUCACUUUGAAACCAUCCUUUAAGAUAUUUGGGCCCCUUCCUCACAACAUUUCCCCUCCUGCUAUUGUCCACAAGCACCACUGAGUGGCCUACAGGUAAGUCCCUGUAUAAGGUGCCAGCUUACAAGAUGGCAGACAGCAGAUUGACUUGCUAAGCCUAUCUUGUUCUCUUGCAAGUGUUAUGAUAAAUCUUUCUGCCAAAAGCCGCCCGAUCCUUACUGCCACGUGGACGCUUUCUGCCAGCCACCUGAGUUCUGCCCGCCGAGUUAAGGCCCCAAAUAAUACACAGAGACUUCUAUUACAUACAAAUGCUGCUUGGCCAAUGACUAGGAUUCUCACCUGUUAGCUCAAUCUUAAUUAUCAUAAAUGUAUAUAUUUUAUAAGACUUAUCUUAUCGGAUGCCUUCCAUUGUCGUCCUCAUCCGGGGAUCAUAUGGUGACUCUAGAGGAAGAGAUAAGGUGCCCACUUCCUUCUUCCCUUGUU